GCAGAGACUACAACUCGUACCUUUUGCAUCAUGAUCUAGCCAGUACCCCNCAAGCGAAGAGAUCUCUAGUUUGGACCCCCGAAACUAAGGCGAGCUACUCCGGGACAGCCAAUUAGGGCCAACCCGUCUCUGUAGCAAAAGAGUGGGAAGAUCCCCGAGUAGAAGUGAAAAACCUAUCGAGCCAAGUUAUAGCUGGUUGCCCAAGAAAUGAAUACAAGUUCAGCCCCGAUUGCCGCCUCCACCCCUAAAAGUUUUACUCAAACUAGGUAAAGAGCCACCAACGGGAGUUAGUUGAAGGAGGUACAGCUCCCUCAAUAAAGGACACAACCUUAAGCAGAAGGCUAAAGAAUAUAGUUUAACCAAGGCCAAAGGCUUCAGUAGGCCUAAAAGCAGCCACCUGACUAGAAAGCGUUAAAGCUCAAGCCAGACUUCAAGCCUUAUAUACCAUUCAAUACCUCUAAAGCCCCUAAUACUAUUGGGCCCCUCUAUGCAACCAUAGAAGAAAUCAUGCUAGAACGAGUAAUAAGAAGAACAAACUUCUCCCAGCACACGUGUAAGCCGGAUCGGACCCCCCACCGACAAUUAACGAACCCAACAAAAGAGGGCCCUACACUACCGCCCACUCAGGCCAAGAAAACCACGCAUCUGAUACUAUCGUUACCCCUACACAGGAGUGCUUAACCUAGGGAAAGACUUAAAGGAAGAAAAGGAACUCGGCAAACCUUGGCCUCGCCUGUUUACCAAAAACAUCGCCUCCUGUUUUUAUAACAUAGGAGGUCCCGCCUGCCCAGUGACCAAAGGU
rnacentral:rRNA from 1 species